AAGCGCGUCUAGGCGGUUUGGUAAGUCUGAUGUGAAAAUGCGGGGCUCAACCCCGUAUUGCGUUGGAAACUGCUGAACUAGAGUACUGGAGAGGUGGGCGGAACUACAAGUGUAGAGGUGAAAUUCGUAGAUAUUUGUAGGAAUGCCGAUGGAGAAGUCAGCCCACUGGACAGAUACUGACGCUGAAGCGCGAAAGCGUGGGUAGCAAACAGGAUUAGAUACCCUGGUAGUCCACGCCGUAAAC
rnacentral:rRNA from 1 species